rnacentral:rRNA from 1 species
GGAAUCUUGCGCAAUGGGCGAAAGCCUGACGCAGCGACGCCGCGUGAGGGAUGAAGGCCUUCGGGUUGUAAACCUCUGUCAGGGGGGAAGAACCCGGAGUCGGUGAAUAACCGGCCCCGCUGACGGUACCCCCAGAGGACGCACCGGCUAACUCCGUGCCAGCAGCCGCGGUAAGACGGAGGGUGCGACCGUUGUUCGGCCUCACUGGGCGUAAAGGGCGCGUAGGCGGACUUGUAAGUCGGGAGUGAAAACUCGGGGCUCAACCCCGAGCCUGCUGCCGAAACUGCGAGUCUUGAGGACCGGAGAGGAAAGUGGAAUUCCUAGUGUAGCGGUGGAAUGCGUAGAUAUUAGGAAGAACACCAGUGGCGAAGGCGACUUUCUGGACGGUUCCUGACGCUGAGGCGCGAAAGCUAGGGGAGCAAAC